UACAGAUAACUGAAGUGGACACCUACUUUAAAAUGUAUUUGAGGGAGACAAAUUGUUCCAAGAUCAAACAAACGUUAAAAUAUGAACACCGUCCAGAUUGCCAGUUCCGAGGGAAACGUUUCAACUGUGUUGUUUGCAAGAAUGCCGAGUACAGCAAUUACAUUGACUGUCUGCGCCCAAGAUCUGCAAACAUAUUAACGAAUGAAGAGGAACGAAAUCGACACUGCCACGUGU